UUGGUCAAUGGCCGAAAGGCUGAACCAGUAACUUGGAAGAAUGGAAAUGUAUUAUAAUAUUAAUACAAUAACGAUUAAUUCGUAUAAAAUUCUAAAUAGGAUAAUGAUAAUGACAAUUUCCUAUUUAUAAGUCUUGACCAAAUUACGUGCCAGCAGUCGCGGUAAUACGUAGAAGACUAGUGUUAGUCAUCUUUAUUAGGUUUAAAGGGUACCUAGACGGUAAAUUAAACUCUAAAUGAGUACUUUUUUACUAGAGUUUUAUAAGAGAAGGUAGAAUUUCUGGAGUAGAGAUAGAAUACUUUGAUACCAGAAGGACUGAUAACGGCGAAGGCAACCUUCUAUGUAAAAACUGACGUUGAGGGACGAAGGCUUGGGUAGCAAUAAGGAUUAGAUACCCUAGUAGUCCAAGCAGAAAAUGAUGAAUGUCAUGGGCUAGAAAUAUAUUUAGCCUAUAAAUGAAAGUGUAAGCAUUCCACCUCAAGAGUAAUAUGGCAACAUAUAAACUGAAAUCAUUAGACCGUUUCUGAAACCAGUAGUGAAGUAU
rnacentral:rRNA from 1 species